CUUUACCUCCAUCACCAUCCCACAGCAAAUCCCUGCCCCCUACCCAAGAGCUCUCCGCUGAAACACUGUGGGAUGGCACUCCCGGACUGAAGGCUGAACAGCAUACGGCAACAGAUUUCUCUUAGAGGAAGAGCAAGGAAGAAUGCUCCAUCCUGUUCUUUGUAAUAUUCAAGCAUAUAGCAAAUCAAGACGUAUGUUAGACAUAAGAAAACAGAUCUAGGAUGAGAAUGCGGCC
rnacentral:lncRNA from 1 species